rnacentral:tRNA from 2 species
GCGGGUGUAACUCAGUGGUAGAGUGCGACCUUCCCAAGGUCGAGGUCGAGAGUUCGAAUCUCUUCACCCGCU